GGAACCUGGAUUUACAGAAAACAUCCAGAAACCUCUUGAAGGAACAAGAAUGACCCUCCUGCAUCUUAAAGGUCUAUCAAUGAGAAGAAAGUGCCAACUGAAAACUUUUAGAAAAUACCCAGUUUACUCAAGGAAAAUAACAUGCAUUGAAGGUGAUUGCUCAAUAGAGAGAAGUUGAAACAGCAGACUAAUUGCCUGUUUGUGACACCCAUGUAAUCAACUUGGUAAGUAAAAACUCAAGAAUAAUGUUCAAUGUUCUCUAAAAUGGGCCAGAAGCCCUUCAGUGCAGAUUCAGGCUCUCUCUCUUUCUCUCUCUCACGCACUCUCUCUCUCUCUCUUUCGUUUACAUCUUAUGGCAGAUCUUUCUUAGGGUCAGUAGAGCACAUGCAGAUUUCACACUAUGCACUCUCUCUAGCUGAUAUCUGAUAUCGAGUCUCAUGGGAGUGAUUGGAGAAGAAAACCAAGCAC
rnacentral:lncRNA from 1 species